UACGUAGGGUGCAGGCGUUAAUCGGAAUUACUGGGCGUAAAGGGCGCGUAGGCGGGAUGGCAAGUCGGUCGUGAAAUCCUUCGGCUCAACCGAAGAACGUCGAUCGAUACUGCUGUUCUUGAGGGUUGCAGAGGAGACUGGAAUUCCCGGUGUAGCGGUGAAAUGUGUAGAGAUCGGGAGGAACACCGGUGGCGAAGGCGGGUCUCUGGGCAAUUCCUGACGCUGAGGCGCGAAAGCGUGGGGAGCAAACGGG
rnacentral:rRNA from 1 species